UCCUUAGGUCGCUGGUUCGGUUCCGGCUCGA
rnacentral:piRNA from 1 species